UACGUAGGGGGCAAGCGUUGUCCGGAAUCAUUGGGCGUAAAGCGCGUGUAGGCGGCUCGGUAAGUCUGCUCUGAAAGUCCAAGGCUCAACCUUGGGAUGCGGGUGGAUACUGCCGGGCUCGAGUCCGGAAGAGGCGAGUGGAAUUCCUGGUGUAGCGGUGAAAUGCGCAGAUAUCAGGAGGAACACCAAUGGCGAAGGCAGCUCGCUGGGACGUGACUGACGCUGAGACGCGAAAGCGUGGGGAGCAAACAGG
rnacentral:rRNA from 2 species